AACGCGAAGAACCUUACCUGGGCUCGAAAUGUUAUGGACCGGGGUAGAAAUAUCCCUUCCCAGCAAUGGGCCGUAAUAUAGGUGCUGCAUGGCUGUCGUCAGCUCGUGUCGUGAGAUGUUGGGUUAAGUCCCGCAACGAGCGCAACCCUUAUCUUCAGUUGCUACCAUUUAGUUGAGCACUCUGACGAAACCGCCUCGGAUAACGGGGAGGAAGGUGGGGAUGACGUCAAGUCCUCAUGGCCUUUAUGUCCAGGGCUACACACGUGCUACAAUGGCCGGUACAAACCGUCGCAAACCCGUGAGGGGGAGCUAAUCGGAAAAAGCCGGCCUCAGUUCGGAUCGCAGUCUGCAACUCGACUGCGUGAAGCUGGAAUCGCUAGUAAUCGCGGAUCAGAAUGCCGCGGUGAAUACGUUCCCGGGCCUUGUA
rnacentral:rRNA from 1 species